CGAAAUGUAUCAAAAUCAAGAAUAAUCAUAUAACAAAUUCUCUGUCAAUUUGUCAUCAUGUCUUUUCAUUAAGAGUUAGGGUUCAGAAAAAGGAGAUUGUAUAACUCUAAAUAAUAAGACUUCCAUUCGAGUUUCGUAGGUCAGUUAGUUGAGUUGGCACUUUAUUGUUUGUAAUUGUCUGAAGAUAUUAUUCAUGUGAUUUGAAGUGGUA
rnacentral:lncRNA from 1 species